UUCCAAGUCAGUUAUUUGGUUUAUAAGAAUUAAGUUUUGUCCUUUUUUUUCCCAGGCAUAAUGAAGAAACAGUGGCAGAAUGUGAGCGCAGAGCAGCUGGAGGCUCAGUGUGGAUGGAUUUGCGAUAACUAAAUAAAAUAAAAUCUUAAAGAGACUUUAUGUUGGCACCAAAAGAAGAAGAUGGCUGAAAUAAACUGUACCAGUAAACACUUUGUUGAUGACAGAAAAACUCAUACACUGCAUUUUGAAAUAACACAGUAAUACUGUAAACGCCUUUUUUCUGUCAUUAAAAGGAAAAUUUAACAUUCAUCAGA